rnacentral:rRNA from 1 species
UACGAAGGGGGCUAGCGUUGUCCGGAAUUACUGGGCGUAAAGCGCGCGUAGGCGGCCUUGCAAGUCGGGUGUGAAAGCCCGGGGCUCAACCCCGGAAAUGCGCCCGAGACUGCUUGGCUCGAGACCGGGAGAGGAGAGCGGAAUUCCCAGUGUAGAGGUGAAAUUCGUAGAUAUUGGGAAGAACACCGGUGGCGAAGGCGGCUCUCUGGCCCGGUUCUGACGCUGAGGCGCGAAAGCGUGGGGAGCAAACAGG